rnacentral:rRNA from 1 species
UACCAGCUCUCCGAGUGGUGUGGAUGUUUAUUGGGCCUAAAGCGUCCGUAGCCGGUUUGGUAAAUAUCUGGGUAAAUCGUGAGGCUUAACUUCACGAAUUUCGGAUAGACUGCCAGACUUGGGAUCGGGGGAGGUCAGAGGUACUCCAGGGGUAGCGGUGAAAUGUUGUAAUCCUUGGAGGACCACCGGUAGCGAAGGCGUCUGACUAGAACGAGUCCGACGGUGAGGGACGAAGCCCUGGGGCGCAAACCGGAUUAGAUACCCGGGUAGUCCAGGGUGUAAACGAUGUGGACUUUGUAUUGGAGGUCCCACGUGGGCGUCCAGUGCAGAAGAGAAGUUGUUAAGCCCACCGCCUGGGAAGUACGGUCGCAAGGCUGAAACUUAAAGGAAUUGGCGGGGGAGCACAGCAACGGGAGGAGCGUGCGGUUU